AUUUCAUCUACACUGCUUCAUCUCAGCUAUCACCUCCCCAGAAACUCAAAACAGCCUGUUCAGUGUAGAAUGAUAACAUGACAUCUCAAUGAUGUAAUUCACAACGAUGUGCGUAUCAUCGCGUCACUCCCAUUUGUGAUGUCACAUUUCCAAGGAAUGCAGCAUCUAGGGUCUAUGCUCAUCUCUGUUAGGCUCCUGCACUCCUCUCUGCCUCAGGACUGUGUGUUUGGACUGUGGUCCCAUGCUGGAUACAGGACUGUGUGUGGUUGGACUGUGGUCCCAUGCUGGAUACAGGACUGUGUUAGAAAUACACUUCCUGUACUGCUACCCUCCUGUAGGUUUUUCAAAUGUGUACUCCAACCAUAAUUAUACUUAUUCUGCAUCUGCAUAUCAGCAAGCAAACUAUGUAAAUUAUGAUAAUAGGGUUUAAUAUUAUAAUUAAUGAUGUACAAAGUCAUAUAAUUAUGUGUUUGUCAGAUUCGGGUGUGUGGGACUAGGACUGGAAUGAAAACCUACAGCAGGGUAGCUGUCCAGAAGCAUUGUAAGAGAGUGCUGCUAGAGUGAUGUUCAGACUCUAGUAAAUUUCAUUACUAACACGAUGUCUGGGCUCAGAUUGCAGAACAAAAAGUCUCUCCUUCUGGAGACCUCUUGGAUGGUUGGUCAUUGGUCUUGUGUUGGAAUUUUUUCAACUGUUGCAUGUCAAGGUGUGUUGGGAUUUUCAACAGGAAAUAAAGAGCGGUUGAAAUUCCAGUGUUCACAUAAAUUGGUAAAUCGGUGAUUAGUCCCCCCCCCCCCGUGACAUGUAUUACCAGGGGUGCCGUAACGGGGUGGAAGAUGAGGAUGACUCUAAGGGCCCUGGUCAGACAGGGGCUGAACCCCAUACUUCCUGUAUGAUCUUGAUGUUGGGGCCUGGAGUACAAAUUAGCAAGGGUGCCCAGAAACCCUAGCGGGGCCCCUGUGUUGGAUAGCACUUUCACAAUGAACACUCGUCAUGAUCUGUGAGCUCUAAAUCUCAGUGUUUAGAGCUAUACACACUGCAUUUCUCUUUGACAUUUCGGCAAGCUUUCUGCAUUUGAAGGCUGAAGAUGUCACAGUGUAUGAGUCAAGGAUAUGAGAUCUUACUCUUUAGUCUUACUGUAAACAUUUGCCGUAGUUUUAUCCCACACUCAAGGUUUCUUUUGUAUUCAGACCAAUCGAGAGUGUAGCCCAACUUUUAACCAUGCAAUAAUACAUUAAAGAAAGUCUUAAAUGAAAGAAAAAUGAAUAAAGAUUUUGACAUGAA